rnacentral:lncRNA from 1 species
AGCAGUACGAAGAAUGUUGACAAAGUUCCCUUUCCAGAAGCCCUUCAACCCUUGUGUCGUUGCAAUUUUGUUAAUGACUGCAAAUAGAUUGCUCUGUUCACCACCAACUACAUAUUCCAACUUUAGCCUCUCAAGAGGAGCAACAAAGGUCCUGAUACACCACAAUAUCAAUAUAUGAGGAGUGCAAAUAGAUUGCUCUGUUCACCACAAACUACAUAUUCCAACUUUAGCCUCUCAAGAGGAGCAACAAAGGUCCUGAUACACCACAAUAUCAAUAUAUGAGGAGUGCAAAUAGAUUGCUCUGUUCACCACAAACUACAUAUUCCAACUGUAGCCUCUCAAGAGGAGCAACAAAGGUCCUGAUACACCACAAUAUCAAUAUAUGAGAUGUCAUAAUGUCCCACUCUAACUAGUCCUCAUAAGUUAACUACUGUUUCUGAAGGGCAGCUCAAUAGGAGAGAGUAAAGUCAUGAACAAGGUCCAAAAAUUUGUAUAUGAGAAAAAGAAGAUAAAUGGUGAUACGGUGGGAUCUGAAUCACAAAAUUCUUAUACUAAACAACGUUAUAUAUAAGACAAGAAUUUGAAGUUUCAUCACGUACAGGAUCUGAAACUGACAAACCAAAAAAUAACAUUAGAUAUCAUUUCAAAGUCAAAAAAAUCUGAUCAGACCAGUAAAUAAUAUUGGCAGUAUGCUUGGUAUAGUAGUAAAAGAUAGAAGCAUAUUCAAAAUCAUGGUUUACAGCAAAAAAAGACUUAACAAAUAAUAUACGAGCAUGAUAAAAGAAAGGGGUCGCAACCACUAUAAUUUCUCAUUCUCAUUUACUUUAAGCUCUUAUCUACCAAUUAGGAUAAAUCUCAAUUCCAGAACUGGAAAGAAUAAAAUAAGACAAAAUUUGUAUGUGUUUUACUGCAUGUAUGAGAGAUUACUUGUAGUUAUUGAGUCCAAAUUGGUGGAAGAUAUUUCAACUAUUCAAAUAAAUCAAAGUGCAACAAGGAACCAAAUAGGUUUUGGUAGCAAUCCAAAAGCCUCCACAUUCCUAGAAGUACCUAAAGAUCUGAAAAAUCAUAGAAAGGCCACCACAUACUUGUCCAUCAGGAUAGAGACAUUCUUGAUAACAACAAAUUAAAAAGUAACCUAAUAUAACAGUGCAUGAAAUUUAUAUUAAAUAAUUUGUUGAAUGUAUAAUCGUAUUGUGAUUCUCAGAACCAAGCAUGCUAGUGGUUCAAUUUUUUAAGAAUUUGUUACUAUCCUUCAAUCUUUCUGGUGUUUCGCAAUGUAGUAAUCCCUCCUCUAAUUCGAACUUACCAAUAAGGAAAUAGAAUUCUCAGAAACACACAUUUUUUAUUUUUUCACUAAGUCUUGACAAACAACACUAUUAUUACUCGAAGGAAAACAGUAGCCAUCUCAACUCACUGAUAUAUGCCAAAUUAUGUUCCUUCGGUAGGCCCUAUAAAAAGCUGACAAUUAGCAGCAGAAACGGAUGAGAAUAAAAAUAUAUUGAUGAAGAAUAAAAAUAAGUAGCUUGUUUGCGAUAUAGUUCUAUUAAAAAGAGGAACUAAUGAUAAUGAAUCAAACAUAAAACAAAGAAAUGAGCUUCACAGUGCCUCGAAACCAUAGCGGCGACAGCUCCAGCCCAGAGAUGCUUGGUGGUGUUCAUUGCACCGGCUCCCACCCCCUGCACUCUACCAUUCAUAUUCUCGUUCUUAAUCCUGUUCUUCUCAUGCUCCUCCAAAACCACCAUUAC